rnacentral:rRNA from 1 species
GGCGGACGGGUGAGUAACGCGUGGGCAACCUACCUUCGACAGGGGGAUAACACAGGGAAACUUGUGCUAAUACCGCAUAACUCGUACAUCUGGCGUCAGAAGUACGGCAAAGGAGAAAUCCGGUGGAAGAUGGGCCCGCGUCCGAUUAGCUAGUUGGUGGUGUAGAAGACCACCAAGGCGACGAUCGGUAGCCGAACUGAGAGGUUGAUCGGCCACAUUGGGACUGAGACACGGCCCAGACUCCUACGGGAGGCAGCAGUGGGGAAUAUUGCACAAUGGAGGAAACUCUGAUGCAGCAACGCCGCGUGAAGGAUGAAGGUCUUCGGAUUGUAAACUUCUUUGAUGAGGGACGAACAAAUGACGGUACCUCAAAAACAAGCCACGGCUAACUACGUGCCAGCAGCCGCGGUAAUACGUAGGUGGCAAGCGUUGUCCGGAAUUACUGGGUGUAAAGGGCGUGUAGGCGGGAGAAUAAGUCAGAUGUGAAAUUCCGGGGCUCAACCCCGGCGCUGCAUCUGAAACUAUUUUUCUUGAGUGCUGGAGAGGAAAGCGGAAUUCCUAGUGUAGCGGUGAAAUGCGUAGAUAUUAGGAGAAACACCAGUGGCGAAGGCGGCUUUCUGGACAGUAACUGACGCUGAGGCG